rnacentral:rRNA from 1 species
UACGAAGGGGGCUAGCGUUGCUCGGAUUGACUGGGCGUAAAGGGCGCGUAGGCGGACAGUUUAGUCAGAGGUGAAAGCCCAGGGCUCAACCUUGGAAUUGCCUUUGAUACUGGCUGUCUUGAGUUCGGGAGAGGUGAGUGGAAUGCCGAGUGUAGAGGUGAAAUUCGUAGAUAUUCGGCGGAACACCAGUGGCGAAGGCGACUCACUGGCCCGAUACUGACGCUGAGGCGCGAAAGCGUGGGGAGCAAACAGG